rnacentral:hammerhead_ribozyme from 1 species
AUUUAAAAAGACGAGUCCCAAAUAGGACGAAACGCGCGUCCUGGAU